AAUAGAUUAGUCAUAAAAAUAUAUUUUUAUAGUAUACUUAUUUGACAUCAAACGUGUUGAUAAUAUUUUCUAUAAAUUUUGAUCAAAUCUAAUGUAGCUGGCUUUGGCAAAAUCUAGAAUUGUACUUUUUUGGAUGGAGGUAUUCUAAAAUUUUUGUUUAGUGCAUAUAAUUGUACCAUUUGGACCCGACCCAAACUCGGUGAAGCCCUGUUUGGUCUUAUCAAAAUUGCCAAAAAAAAAUCAGAAAAUAAAGAAAAAAAAUUGACAAGGGUUUUGCACGCUUUUCAGAGAACUUGCUGAAUUUCUGUAGACCACAUCUGAGUUGUAGUUGCCAAUUUUGUGGUUACAUCUUUUGUGAUGCUUGUUUAGAGAAAAAUAUGAAAAAAUAGUGAAAAAAUAAAAAAUCUUGAUUCCUACUAGUGCCUUUUGGAAAAAUCUAUGAAAAAUUAGGAUAAACGAAAAAACUGCUCUAUUGCUUGUUCGCUGAGUUCCUUCCAUCAUACUUUGUUUCAUCUUGUUGCGUUAUGUCUAGACACGUCUUAGCCAGCAGUUGUGAUUUGUCCUUUGGAUACUUAUUGAACUUAGCUAACUCUGCAUUCGAAUAUUGCUAAUCCUUGCUACUUAAAUUGUGUCUAUCCAAAGCUCCACAUAUACUUCUGUCAGCACAGGUUCAUCUUGCAACUGUUUACCCACGC
rnacentral:lncRNA from 1 species